GUCUACGGCCCUGCUACCCUGAACAAGCCCUAUCCUAUCUGAUCUUGGAAGGUAAACAGGGUCGGGCCUGGUUAGUACUUGGAUGGGAGACCACCUAGGAACACCAGGUGCUGUAGGCA
rnacentral:rRNA from 1 species